CUCUUCAGGAGACAACCAUGAUGUAGUGUGUGUAAACAUCCUACACUCUCAGCUGUGAGCUCAAGGUGGCUGGGAGAGGGCUGUUUACUCCUUCUGCCAUGGAAAACCCCAGAUGAACUUCGUAAGAAGACAGCUCUCCCUGUGGGAGGG
ensembl:miRNA sha-mir-30c sha-mir-30c